rnacentral:lncRNA from 1 species
UUUAGGUUUCCAUUAUUUACAAACCUGUACGCGAAGCCAUUUAGACCAUUAUUAAUUAAGAGUAUAGGGGAUCCCAAACUACCACUAUGAAUAGGCCAAAUAGCUUAGUUCAGAAUAUAGUAAUUCAAAUAGGUUCUAUGAUCACGACAUUACAUUGCCAUUGUAACCCCUACAGUCAAUCGCAAUUCACUAUCAUAAGAGGAAAAGCCAGUACAGUACCCAUCACAGGGAGUGGUUCGCCAACAGUUAGUAAAUAGAUCAAUACCAGUAACUCCUCCAUGAUAAUAGUUAAACGAAUUUAGAAUUUUCUUUGUUAACUUAUGUUUAU